CGCGUAGGUAACCUGCCUUGUAGCGGGGGAUAACUAUUGGAAACGAUAGCUAAUACCGCAUAACAAUGGAUGACACAUGUCAUUUAUUUGAAAGGGGCAACUGCUCCACUACAAGAUGGACCUGCGUUGUAUUAGCUAGUAGGUGAGGUAACGGCUCACCUAGGCGACGAUACAUAGCCGACCUGAGAGGGUGAUCGGCCACACUGGGACUGAGACACGGCCCAG
rnacentral:rRNA from 1 species